rnacentral:rRNA from 1 species
GACGAACGCUGGCGGCGUGCUUAACACAUGCAAGUCGAACGGUGAAGCGCCUUCCUUUUUGGUGGGUGUGGAUGAGUGGCGAACGGGUGAGUAACACGUGAGUAACCUGCCCCCUUCUUCUGGAUAACCGCAUGAAAGUGUGGCUAAUACGGGAUAUUCUGGGUCUGUCGCAUGAUGGGUCUGGGAAAGAUAUUGUUUCGGUGGGGGAUGGGCUCGCGGCCUAUCAGCUUGUUGGUGGGGUGAUGGCCUACCAAGGCGGUGACGGGUAGCCGGCCUGAGAGGGUGGACGGUCACACUAGGACUGAGACACGGCCCAGACUCCUACGGGAGGCAGCAGUGGGGAAUAUUGCACAAUGGGCGCAAGCCUGAUGCAGCGACGCCGCGUGAGGGAUGGAGGCCUUCGGGUUGUGAACCUCUUUCGCCAGUGAAGCAGGCCUGCCUCGUUUGUGGGUGGGUUGACGGUAGCUGGAUAAGAAGCGCCGGCUAACUACGUG